rnacentral:rRNA from 1 species
GAUGAACGCUGGCGGCGUGCCUAAUACAUGCAAGUCGAGCGAACAGACGAGGAGCUUGCUCCUCUGACGUUAGCGGCGGACGGGUGAGUAACACGUGGAUAACCUACCUAUAAGACUGGGAUAACUUCGGGAAACCGGAGCUAAUACCGGAUAAUAUAUUGAACCGCAUGGUUCAAUAGUGAAAGACGGUUUUGCUGUCACUUAUAGAUGGAUCCGCGCCGCAUUAGCUAGUUGGUAAGGUAACGGCUUACCAAGGCGACGAAGCGUAGCCGACCUGAGAGGGUGAUCGGCCACACUGGAACUGAGACACGGUCCAGACUCCUACGGGAGGCAGCAGUAGGGAAUCUUCCGCAAUGGGCGAAAGCCUGACGGAGCAACGCCGCGUGAGUGAUGAAGGUCUUCGGAUCGUAAAACUCUGUUAUUAGGGAAGAACAAAUGUGUAAGUAACUAUGCACGUCUUGACGGUACCUAAUCAGAAAGCCACGGCUAACUACGUG